rnacentral:lncRNA from 10 species
CACAUAAUGCUUAGUUCAUUAGCUUUUCAAAAAAAAUCACAUGUAAUUGUGUUCCAAAAAUAUAUGUAUAGUAAUGGCAUUUAUUGGUAUUACUUGGUUUGUGUGAUAGAAUAAAAUGUUAGAAUUUUAUGGUGUUUGAAUUAGUUAUCUAUUGCUCUGUAACAAAUUUAGCAGCUUAAAACAACAAACAUUAUCUCACAGUUUCUGUGGGUCAGAAUUCUGUGCAGUUUAUCUUGGGUUCACUGGCUUGGUCUCUCACCAGGCAGUGAAGGUGUUGAUGGCGGCUGUGAUCAUCCCAAGGCAGGAUAGGGAGAGAAUCUGUCUCCAAGCUCACAUUGGCAGGAAUCAUCUCAGAGGCUGCUGGACUGGGCCUCCGUUUCUAGAUGGCUAUUGGUCAGAGGCCUUUUACAAUACCUUGUCACGUGGGCCUCUCCAUAGGGCACCUCAUCACAUGGCAACUGGCUUCCAUCAGAGGGAGCAAUGGAAAGAGCAGGAGAAGGGUGACCAAGGCAGGCAUCGUAGUCUCCUUGUAGCCUCACCUCAGAAGCGAUGUUACUUUUGCUGUAUUCUCUUUGUUAGAAGUGAGUCACUAGGUCCAGGGGUGGAAUUUUACAAGGGUGUGAAUGGCAGGAGGUGAGGGUGAUCAGGGCCAUUUAGAGGCUGCCUACCAGUGUUGAAGAAAAUUGUUGACUUCUAUGAGCUGUAGCAGCAGACAGUGCUAUGCAAGGAGAAUGGCUGUCUCAGAAGUCCAGCUCCUCACAUGGGUUUAAACGUGUUGCCUUUUCCCCCUGAUACAUUUUGUUUAAAUCCAUGGUCAUCUUGCCAUUUAGUGGUGUGGUUUAAUUGCAUAUUUGGGUUAGUCUGUAUGUAAACAUUUAACAUAGGUGUCUCUGGGUUAAACAGGAAUCCUAUUCAUCUUCUUCACCGAUAUGGUCUGUGGACUCUGAUGAGCCAAAUCUGACAUCAGUUCUGGAAUGUCUAGAAGAUACUAAGGACAACAGUUUGGUGAGGAAAGAAACCAAGCUAUUUUCUCUUUUCCUCAUGAACAUUAUAUUUAGAAUUUAAAUGUUAAGAGAUAAUAUUAUAUAAAAACAUGAUUCAUAACUAUAAUCUUAGAGGAAUUAAAGUCUGGGUAUUUUAAGUCCUCCAAAUCUUAUUUACUACCUGGUUUCUCUUUAUUAUUUCCCACAUGUAUAAUCUUAGUUUAGAUUAGCAAUUCGGGAUCUCUUUUUCCCUGAAUUCUAACCAUUAAGCCAAGCAAGCAUUUUGGGUGGAGACCACUAGCCAAGGUGGGAAGUAGAAAGAAGACCAAGGUGGAAGUGAAGGGAGAGAUGGGGAGAAUGACACCAAAACUAGUGGGAGGGGAUUGCCUUUUCUUUCAAGGGUCUGUAAGUCUGCAGUAAAAGUCAAAGGUAUUCAAAUAGGAAGUUUUGUUUUUGUCUUUAGUAUAUAAAGAAGCAUAACUUUCCAUUUUGCAAAAACUUUAGAAACCUUUCUUUCUUGAUUAUAAAACUUAUAAGCAACCAUUAUUGAGAAGAUUAGUAAAAUAUAAAAAAAUAAAAAUCUCACAUAAUUUCUCUACCUAAUAUAACUACUGUUGACAUGAUAGCUAGUUUCUAUCAGUAUGUAUUGCUUCUUUGUUAUCAAAGUACUUAUACCCUUACAGAUAUGUUUAAAUAGUUGAGGUCAUAUUCUAUAAAUAUCUAUAAAUAGCUGGGUGCUGUGGCUCACACCUGUAAUCCCAGCACUUUGG